GACGAACGCUGGCGGCGUGCCUAAUACAUGCAAGUCGAACGCAGUGGGGACGGGUGAGUAAUACGUGGGUAACCUCCCAUCAGAGGGGAUAACACUUGGAAACAGGUGCUAAACCGAUACUGAUGGAUGGACCCGCGGUGCAUUAGCUAGUUGGUAAGGUAACGGCCCACCAAGGCCACGAUGCAUAGCCGAACUGUGAGGAUGAUCGGCCACACUGGGACUGAGACACGGCCCAGACUCCUACGGGAGGCAGCAGUAGGGAAUAUUGCGCAAUGGGCGCAAGCCUGACGGAGCAACGCCGCGUGAAUGAAGAAGGUUUUCGGAUCGUAAAGCUCUGUUGGAAGGGAGGCGGUAUCUUCCCAAAAAGCCACGGCUAACUACGUGCCAGCCGCCGCGGUAAUAC
rnacentral:rRNA from 1 species